rnacentral:rRNA from 1 species
GACGAACGCUGGCGGCGUGCUUAACACAUGCAAGUCGAACGGAAAGGCCCUGCUUUUGUGGGGUGCUCGAGUGGCGAACGGGUGAGUAACACGUGAGUAACCUGCCCUUGACUUUGGGAUAACUUCAGGAAACUGGGGCUAAUACCGGAUAGGAGCUCCUGCUGCAUGGGGGGGGUUGGAAAGUUUCGGCGGUUGGGGAUGGACUCGCGGCUUAUCAGCUUGUUGGUGGGGUAGUGGCUUACCAAGGCUUUGACGGGUAGCCGGCCUGAGAGGGUGACCGGCCACAAUGGGACUGAGAUACGGCCCAGACUCCUACGGGAGGCAGCAGUGGGGAAUAUUGCACAAUGGGCGGGAGCCUGAUGCAGCAACGCCGCGUGCGGGAUGACGGCCUUCGGGUUGUAAACCGCUUUCGCCUGUGACGAAGCGUGAGUGACGGUAAUGGGUAAAGAAGCACCGGCUAACUACGUG